rnacentral:sRNA from 1 species
GAUUAUGUCGUGAACCCUCUCACAGCAGCUAUGAGAGACUGCGGCGCUCCCCAGAUGAGGAAACCUGGUCCCCCAGCGCCAGAUGGAGUCUCGCUCUGUCGUCCCGGCUGGAGUGCAGUGGCGCGAUCUCGGCUCACUGCAAGCUCCGCCUCCCGGGUUCAAUCGAUUCUGCUGCCUCAGCCUCUGGAGUAGCUGGGACUGCGGAGUCUUGCUCUGUCGCCCAGGCUGGAGUGCAGUGGCGCGAUCUCGGCUCACUGCGACCUCUGCCUACCAGGUUCAAGUGAUUCUCCUGCCUCAGUCUCCCGAGUAACUGAGAUUACAGCUCUGGGACAAACCAGCUUCUAUGUCAUGAGUACACUCAGGCAGCUCACUGGAGAGAUCUGCAUGGUAAAGCAAUGAGCCUCCUGCCAGUAGCCAUGUGGGGGGCAUCUUGGAGCCAGACCCUCCAGCCCCAGUCAAGCCUUCAGAUGCCUGCAGCCCUGACUGACAUUUCAACCACAAUUUUAUGAGAGAUUCUGAGCCAGAAUCACCCAGCUAAGCUGCUCCCAGGUUGCUGGAUCAAUCCACAGUUCUCCAGGGACCCAUUGUGGUUUUGUGCUUCCUCUGUGCCUGUUCUGCUCCUCUUCAUGCACCCCCACUUCCCCAGCCCCUCCCAGUCCCCUCAACGGUCCUUCUGGCCAGCCCCACAGCCCCCUCUCCGCCCCACAGUCCUCAGGCUCCAGCCUCCUCGUUAGGAAGUGUUAGAAAGUUGCUGGAGUGAGAAAUGAGCCUGUGAAACUCGUUGUCCUAAUUAAACUUCCACAAGGAGAGUGACAAGAGGCGACGGGGAGGAAACGGUGCCACCACCAAGGUCUCAGCCUGGGCCCAGGUCGAGGAAGGCCUUUGUCCUGCAGAACAAAAGCCACUGUUUGCACGUGUUAAACCUCAUCAAACUUCAACAGACCCAGGUGCAAAACCCCACAUCCCAAAUGCCAUCCGGGCUUAUGCCACCUUCCCGAGCACAGACCGUCCCUAGCCGUCAACCCUAAUCAGGGCCAUGCCCCACAUCAAAGCUGCACUCCCUCCACAGACAGCUUCUGCUCUAAGAUGCAUUGUUCCUAUGACUUCCUACACUCGGCCCUUGUCUGACGAAUUAGGGCACGGAGCCCCCCAUGGCACAGCUGGGCCCUGCUGGCAUUGUUAAUGAGGUAGGAAGGGUGCGUUUGUCCGAGCCUGGGACUAACAUAAUCACAUAAAGCUGUUGCUUUGGAAUAGAUGGAGCUGCCCCAGAGUCAAUUUUCUUGGAAGCAACGCAAAGCAGAGCUUCCUGGGAGAAGAUACAAUGCCUCCUAUUGUCCCUGUCACUUCCCCUCCAGCCUCCCAGCGUUUCUGCGUCUCCUCGGGAGCCACUGCCCUGUGCAAAAGCUGUUUGCUGAUGCCCAGCCAUGGUUUCCAAAAGCCCCAUGAGAAGUCGUUUCUGUCCACAGUCAUUGUUUCCAGACCAGCCGAGCCAACUGGGGAGGAGAGGCCAGGCCCAGGGAGAGCAGUAAGAGGCCCAGCUUGCAACACAGGCCCCUGGCGGCUGGGGUCGGCUCAUGGGUUGCUGGGGGGCAGCUGGUGCCAGGUGCCAGCCCUGCUAGACAUGUCCAGGGUCGGGGCAGAGGUCAGGGUGGCUCACAUCCACAAUGAGGCUCCAGGAAGAGGCUCCAGAGGGCCCAGGUCCCUGGAGGAGGACAGAGUAUGGAUUAUCCAGUGAGUCCUCAGAGUGCUCCCGGGAGAUUCUACCUCUAGGCCCUCAUCCUGCCUAGGACUCAGGCAGCCAUCUGGGUCUCUGCUUCCCUAACCACUUCCUCCUCCACCCGACCAUCACCUAGUCUCAAGGACCUGGGCAGCUUCUGGAAGUGGCUGAGACUGGAAGAAUGUUGUCACACCUACCAGAUAUCCCUACGUGUAUCUCUACCAGCCCCACUACAUAUUCUGAAGAACCAAGGUGAGCUGGGGGAGUCCCCAGGCCAGCAGGGCAAGGCCUGGGCAGGAAUGGAGUGAGGAAGUGAGAAGUGGGGAUCUUGGGGGUGGGCGGGCUGUGGGGCUGGGCUGUGCUGAGCACUGGGCAGGAGGCGGGAGGUGGCAAUGGAAGCGACAGCUCCCCAUCUUCCCCGGCUGUCUACGUGAGGGGUUCUGCUGCAUUCACUGAGUCACCAAAGGACACUGGAAGGCCAUCAGGAUUUUUGGGUGACCAAGACAUGGCUCCCCUCUUACUGUCUGUGGGGAGACAGGCAUGUGAACAGCCAAGUCUAACCCAAGCAGAGUUGACUGAGGGCCAUUUAAAGAUUCCACAGAGGCUGGGUGCAGUGGCUCACGCCUGUAAUCCCAGCACUUUGGGAGGCCAAGGCAGGUGGAUCACUUGAGGUCAGGAGCUCGAGACCAGCCUGGCCAACAUGGUGAAACCCCGUCUCUACUAAAAAUACAAAAAUUAGCCAGGCAUGGUGGUACACACCCAUAGUCCCAGCUAUUCAGGAGGCUGAGGCAGGAGAAUCACUGGAACCCAGGAAGCAGAGGUUGCAGUGAGCCACGAUCACACCACAGCACUCCAGCCUGGGCAACAGAGCGAGACUCCGUCUCAAAAAUGAACAAAUAAAGAAAGGUUCCAAGGAUGGCCUGGAGGACAAACAAAGGAGAAGAUUUGGUGCAGGAGUUAGGACAAAGACUCCUGGUAGAGCAGCCCUCAUUUGGGGCCAUAGUGAAUGAAUGGGGGCCUUUUGCAGAAGGGAAAUGGAGGAUGUGUGUGGUGAAGGCUUUGCUGAAGCAUCUCUUAUAAAAGGGGCAAAAGCACUUGCUCUCCUCCCAGCUCUGGCUCAGCUUCUCUCUCUUCAAGUCCCUGGCAUCCCUGGAAAACCAGGAUUUUUCCAUUCUGCACCCAGCCCAGGCACCUCCUCCCACCCCCGCACACUGCAGUCUGGUGUGUGUGGUGGGCACACGUAGAAUACUUGCUGGUCUUGAAAAUGAAGCCAACUUUUGGGGCCCCUAGAAAUCAAAGAGACCCACAUAGCCAAGAAAUCACUCUUGGACACCAGCAAGGCUGAGAUCACUUGAUAGGUAUUUUGCCGUGUGUUUCUUUUUAACUAUACAAAAAACAAAAGGGUGGAUGUGCAAACCCAACCCAAGAACCUUGGCUCAGGCUCAACUAGAUGAAACUUUUAAAAAUGAUUUAAUGUUAUGUUAGACUGUUGCAUAUUAAAGCGAUGUAAUGCCUUCUAAGAAACGAGAGUCAGAUCCUGAAAGUGAUGACUUGGGCAAAUUUAAGGAGUUAUAACUCACUUUUCAAGAGAGCAACUAUAAACAUUUUGCCCAAUAUGUACAGACCUCUAAUGACAGUGUGCAAAGACUCUUUCGUUCCUAGAUUAUGAGGCUGCCACUUUCUCCUCCCCUUCCUGAGCCGCACUUUUCUAAACAGCAACUGUGGGGGCAGAGGGGUGGGAAGCUCAUGACAGAAGGAAAUAUUUGGGACCGUGUCGGCCAGUGGAAUGGGGCUUGUGGUCACCGUGUUACAAAGUCAAAUCACUUCCCAGUAAACACCAGUUUCCGAUGGCUCUCUGGCCAGGGUUGGCCGGGGACAAGCAGGGAGUAUAUGUGUCGGGUACGUUGGGUCACAAGCUGUGCAGCUGUGUAGGCCUCUCUGUCCAGAGGCAUUAAUGGAAAAUGACUGGGCACCCAGCCCACAGCAGAUGCGCUGAGGAAUCCAGCCAGGGGGAGCUGGGAUGCAGCAGGAGAAAGGACACGCAGGGCCUGGCUGAGAAGCCUUGCAAGGUAACCACAGGCGGAAACCUGAAAAAUGAAGACGUUCCCACCAGUUCCAGAAAACAGGGCUAACUUAAAAUGCAGCCCCUUUCCUUGAAGUGGGCUUGGCAGGCCCCAGGUGUUGAAAGGCAAAAGAAAAAAAAGAAAGAAAGAAAAAGAAAAAGAAAACAACAUGUUUUACAUUUAUCUAGCCUGCAUUUCUAAUGGAGUUCCCUUCAGACCCCCUCACAUGCUGAAUUGAUGUGUGAGAUCAGAACAAAAGGAAUUUCAAGGAGUCAGAGCUAAGGAGAUUGCAGUUUUAAAAUACUGUUUCAUGCACUUAUUAGACUAAAUCAGCAAACAGAUAGCAGCGUGCCAGGUCCUCCUGGAAGUUGCCAGAAGUCUCAUGGCUGUAGCCUCCCUGGCUGCUGCUUCAGGGGGUCCCCUGGACCCCUCAACCCAAAAGAGGAAGGCAAGGGUCCAUCUCUCCUUAAGAGUUCCUCUUUUCCCCACUUUAUGCCUCAGAGCCUUAGCUCCUCCAUGUGCCUCAUCUGUCAAGUCCGUUCUCAGGGCAAAGCGGAAACUCACUCAGUCCCGAAGAUGAAUGGUAACCUCAGCUUCUUCUCAGGGUGGGAGGGGAGGCUCGUGUUUUCCCAGACCCUAAGCUAAAGUAAGCUCCUGCUAAACAGAUGAGGGAAUUACGUUGAGGGGGAAGAGGUUCACAAUGGACUCCUGUGAAUUCCUUGAAGGAUUCAUGAGAUUUCUCACCUCUGGGUUUUCUGUGGGGGUUGAGUCUCUCCGUCUGUAAUGCUCUUUGUCUAAUUGGCUCACACUUUCUUUCUGCUGAAUAAUGUCACUUCUGUGCUUGGGAGUGGUCCCUGGGGUAGAGGAUGCCAGUUGCCAAGCAAAACCUAUUCCCCGUUCUUCUUGACUGACAGACCCUUAUAUUAUUGGGGCAGCAAUAGGUCCAGCUAAAGCACUAGAUUUCCCAAGUUUACAGACAUCUGUGGCCAAGCGGGUGUAAGCAGAAGACUUUAGGGGUAGGGGAUGCCUCAGAGAAAGUUAUUCAAAAGGGGGAUAAUUAAACCAGGAGGUGAACUUUCUUCUUUGCCCUUCCCCCAUGGAAUGUGGUCAUGAUGGUUGGAGCUCCAGCAGCCAUCUUGGGACCAAUGUGAGGAUGGACAUUACAAGCUAAGAGGGCUGAGCAGAAAGAAAGAAGACAUCAGACUCUGAUGAGUGACUGUGGAGCUGCCUUGCCAGUCCUAGACUGCCCAAGGCUGUAUUUCUCUCAGCUGAAAAUAAACCCGUAUCCUCUUUAA